UACGAAGGGGGCUAGCGUUGCUCGGAAUCACUGGGCGUAAAGGGUGCGUAGGCGGGUCUUUAAGUCAGGGGUGAAAUCCUGGAGCUCAACUCCAGAACUGCCUUUGAUACUGGCGACCUUGAGUCCGGGAGAGGUGAGUGGAACUGCGAGUGUAGAGGUGAAAUUCGUAGAUAUUCGCAAGAACACCAGUGGCGAAGGCGGCUCACUGGCCCGGUACUGACGCUGAGGCGCGAAAGCGUGGGGAGCAAACAGG
rnacentral:rRNA from 1 species